rnacentral:rRNA from 1 species
GGGAGUUUAAAAUGGUCUCGUUGGUGACCAGCGGAGGGAUCAUUAC